UACGUAGGCAGCAAGCGUUGUUCGGAGUUACUGGGCGUAAAGAGCUCGUAGGUGGUUUGUCGCGUUGUUCGUGAAAACUCACAGCCUAACUGUGGGCGUGCGGGCGAUACGGGCAGACUGGAGUACUGCAGGGGAGACUGGAAUUCCUGGUGUAGCGGUGGAAUGCGCAGAUAUCAGGAGGAACACCGGUGGCGAAGGCGGGUCUCUGGGCAGUAACUGACGCUGAGGAGCGGAAGCGUGGGGAGCGAACAGG
rnacentral:rRNA from 1 species